rnacentral:rRNA from 1 species
UACGUAGGUGGCAAGCGUUGUCCGGAUUUACUGGGCGUAAAGAGCGCGCAGGCGGCUGGUCAAGUCCGAUGUGAAAGCUCCCGGCUUAACUGGGAAACGGCAUCGGAAACUGAUCGGCUUGAAGGUGGGAGAGGGUAGUGGAAUUCCCGGUGUAGUGGUGAAAUGCGUAGAUAUCGGGAGGAACACCAGUGGCGAAGGCGACAUCCUGGACCGGCAUUGACGCUGAGGAGCGAAAGCUAGGGGAGCAAACGGG